rnacentral:lncRNA from 1 species
CUGCUGCUGCCGCUGCCUGCAGAGAGCAGGGGCGCAGAUGGGAAGAGGCUGCAGCUGCGGGGCAGGUGCCAUCCCCCGCUGCCGCAGGAGGGGCAGCAGCCCCCUCGGGCAGCUCGCCGGCUCAGGCGGGGAUUUGGUUGUGACAGCCCAGCUCCAUGUCGGGGCAUGCAAGUCGCAGGAGGCUGCACUUGGCAGAAGCUGCUGCCAGAGAAAGGGGCCAAGGAGCAACUGAGCAUGGAUGCUUCUACAGAGGGGAUGUGGAGUGUGACACGGGAAACAACCAAGUGCCAAGAUCUUGAUCCAGCCCCAGAGCUGCUAACUGCCGAUUAUCCCAAGGAGCAGAGCCUGAAGCAGAAUCAGAGAUUUCCAUUGCUUUGGAAAACCAGUAAUUGCCACUGAAACUGACACGUGGUCAACCAGCUUUACCGCAACCCAGAGGCAUGUCCCAAGCAGAAUAUGGAGUUCUCUGCAACCCUUCUGCAAUGCUAAAGCAACUACUGGUACCACAGAGUGAUGCUGCUGUUGCAUAUUUAACUUUCUUUCUGAUAAUAAAUAGUCUUGGACACCUGCA